rnacentral:misc_RNA from 1 species
AAAUGGAGCUACCGGUGAUCGAUCUAUCCCGAUAUUUAGAGAUCUCCGGAAAACUGAGCAACGACCCGGAGAAAUUAUCCGGUCAGCUCCAAGAAUUCGGGCCAUGGCUAGUUGAAUCAUGCAAGGAGGUGAGUCGGAUCCUCCGAGAAACCGGAGCUUUGAUAGUGAAAGAUCCGAGAUGCUCCGCGGAAGAUAAUGACCGGUUCAUAGACAUCAUGGAGAAGUACUUCGAGAGGCCUCAAGACUACAAAAAACUCCACGAGAGACCUCAAUCAUAUUACCAGAUUGGAUCAAGCCCAGAUGGAUUAGAAGUUGCAAAAUGUGUGGUUGAUGAGAAGAUAAAAGAGAAGGUAAAAGCCAUGCCUAUGGAUGUUCAACCAUCCCUGCCCCAUGGACCUGAUCUCAAGGAGAGGUAUAUGUGGAGAGUAGGUUCUCCACCAGCAAACACUCGUUUCAGGGAAUUUAACUUGGAGCCUCCCAUACCUGAAGGAUUCCUUGAGUGGAAAGAAGUCAUGGACUCAUGGGGAUCCAAAAUGGUGAAUGCAGUUGAGGCUGUAGCUGAAAUGGCAGCAAUUGGGUUUGGCUUGCCCAAGGAUGCUUUUACUUCUCUUCUGAAGCAGGGACCACAGCUUCUUGGCCCAACAGGGAGUAACCUCAGCCAUUAUAAUCAGGAAGGAACUGUGUUUGCUGGAUAUCAUUAUGAUACUAACUUUUUAACCAUUCAUGGGAGAAGUAGAUUCCCUGGUCUAAACAUUUGGCUGAGGAAUGGACAGAAAGUGGAAGUCAAGGUUCCACCCGGAUGUCUCUUCAUUCAGACAGGAAAGCAGAUAGAGUGGCUGACUGCUGGAGAAUGCAUGGCUGGAAUGCAUGAAGUUGUUGUCACAGACAAAACACUUGAUGCAGUGAAAAAGGCUGCAGAGCAAAAUAGAAGCCUCUGGAGAGUUUCCUCAACACUCUUCUCAAACAUUGCGUCAGAUGCCAUGUUGAAGCCUUUAGGCCACUUUGCCAAACGCCCACAAGCCAACCAAUAUCCACCCAUGUAUGCAGGAGAGUUUAUGCAAAACGAGCUGUCAGCAAUCAAUCUAAAUGGGAAUAAAAUAGAAGCCUGAUGUGAUAUAUUGUAAUAUAAUUAUCAGUAACCUCUAUGUUUCUGCAAUAAAGAGAGAGGUCUACCGUGGGACUGGAGCAUAUAACAAUAAGCCAUUAGGAAGAGUGGUAUUUCGUGAUAUUCAGC